AUGUUUUCACAAGCAUUCGGGAGCUUCUGGCCCCAACGAAAAAAAAAAAACAUCCUUAAGCAUUUAGUAUUUAGUGACACAAUACAGUCAGAGACAGACAACCCCUGUCAAACUUCGGCAACUGCUUUCGUUUUCAAAGGCGGAAAUCCUGCUGCUCUUUGUGUAUCUAAUUCCGUUACACAGAGUGAAUUUUGCGCUUGUGUGUUAGACACGUUAGAUUUGAGUCAAAAGUACCUGGUACCUGAUUGCCAUAUAAUUUUUGUUCACGGAUCAAGGUCUGUUACCCAACACGAUGAGCAGAUCUGGUGGUUACAGAUGGAAGCACAAACCUCCCGAUUCUGAUUCCAAAGUAGCAACCGGACAUAAAAGUGAGUAAAAACUUUCCUUGUUAUUAUCAAUAUGUCACUUUAUAGAUUUACAGUUCAAGAGAUCAUUAUUUACUAUGUGUUGUCUGGUUUGAGUAUUACCAGAGCUUUUAUUUUAAAACUUGCCAGAUAAUCUUCUAAACAACACCCUACAUUACAUUUUGUUAUCAAAUUAAUCUCAGGUUUAGCUUUUUGUAAUAUGUGUAAUGGGUGACAUAGUAGACUACUUUCUUGUCUUCAUAUUUUUUGAAGCAUUGGUGGGGGAUUGGUCACUCUGGGGCUAGUAGAUCUCUGCAAUGAUGGGAAUGAGGCAGAGCGAUCUCAAUUCAUGAGCAGAGACUUUUAUUGGGGUUUAACCAAGCAAAAGAGUAAACUGGUCGAACAGGCAGCAGAAAAAAGCAAAAGUAUCAAUGGGACCAUGUAUCAGUGGACCAAUCAGGUAGCAGCGAGAGGGGUAAUAAUCUGGCAGGGGGCUGGAAUUGGGCACAUCAAUGGAAAGCCAAUCAAUAAGUAACAACUCUCAGAAUUGUCCUCCAGAAAAUAAUAAGACUUCAAAAAGAGCUCUGAGCCUUCACUGUCUAUGUAAAUAUACACAUGACAUGAACACCCUAAUACACAACAGGAGAAGGGAAUCAGAGUCAAUGACACUCAUCUGUUGGUGAACUGCUCUCACAUUUUCACAAUGCCAGAGUUCUCUUUUCUCCAAAGCAGGAAAAAAAAUAGAGAGAGAGAGUAAUUACGGCAGUCAGAAAAGAGAAAGAUGUCACUCCCUGAACAUCCUGUUACUAGAUUUUUCACAAAGUAUAGUGAUAUAAAUGUACACUCAAUAAUAAAAAAAAGAAAAUAAAAGAAUACUGUGGAAACACAUCAUUACAGUUUGUAAAAAGGGUCUAUAUCUUUACCUCUGCUAAAAGACUAGACUAUUUUUUUUUAAAGCUGCAUAGAGACAGUGUGACACACGUCAUAAUUUGAAAACCACGCCCACCACUGCUUUGUGACAAGAUGUACAGUAAACAAGCUAAAAAAAACACAGAACUACCUUUUUAGAAGCUGUUGACCCCCCAAAAAUGAGCAUUUAAGGACACAAAAGUAGAGCACAAUGUGUCAUAUUACUCUGAGAACUACACCCACUGGAGGGAAACGUGAUCGGCGACAGGAAACAUUCAUAAUUUUUAAGUCAAAGGAUUAUUUCACCACCCUAUGUGAACCUGAGAGGAGGAGAUAUAUUGAAAAACUAAAUUUUAUUGGUCUUUGUCAGUGCCCCUUUUCCUUACCUUUCUUUUGUUGGAGAAAUGAUUCAACUGAAUGGCCCAAUGUUAAAUACCCUGACAUCUACAACUAUUUUUGUCCUUAAAUGCAAAGUUUUUUGUUGUUGUUGGUUUUUUUUUUUUUUUUUUUAGGUCGACAGCUUAUAUAAAACAUAGUUUUGUUUUUUUUUUUUUUUUUUUUUUUUUUUUUUUGUUUGUUUACUGUACACCUUGUCACACAGCAGCUUUUAGGCAUUGUUCUGUGUGUUUUUUUGUUUGUUUUUUAUAAGUUAGAAAUAACAAGGAAGCAGCUUCCCGCAAUACAAAGUCAAUGGAGAGCGUUGGAUUGUUUCCCACCGUCCCGGUGCUGGCGUGGCCUAAAUGCGCUCUGUCUCUAUGAUAUCAAUAAUUUUUCAUUUAGCAUUAUUUUACCAAAAUUCAACAUUUCAGAAUAAAUAGCCAUUUNUUACUGAAAUGAUCUCAGCAGGUCCUUUAAUGACAGCAAUGAAAUGCAGUGGAAAGGUUUUUUUGGGAUUAAGUUAAUUUUCAUGGCAAAGAAGGACUAUGCAAUUCAUCUGAUCACUCUUCAUAACAUUCUGGAGUAUAUGCAAAUUGCUAUUAUAAAAACUUAAGCGGCAACUUUUCCAAUUUCCAAUAUUUAUGUAAUUCUCAAAACUUUUGGCCACGACUGUACUAUUUUCAAGUUGGUCAAGUGAAUUUACUGUUCUAAAAGAACAAAAAGCUGCUUGUUGUGUGAGCUGUGCUUUACACAUCGCUGUGGAAUUGACAGUAGACAAUAGAACUUUUUUCUUUUGUCUGCGAAAUUGUGCUGAAAUUUUCUAAUCUGCCCACACCUUAAUAAUGACUGUUAGUAAUUUAACUUGUUACUGUUCUUUGGCCAUUUUUAACCACUAAAGUAAUAACUGUUGUGUC
rnacentral:lncRNA from 12 species